rnacentral:tRNA from 1 species
UCCCGAUAGUCUAGUGGUGAGGAUAUCUGCUUGUCAUUGAUUUUCAACGAUUUUCGCAGGGGACCGGGGUUCAAUUCCCCGUCGAGGAG